AACGUAGGAGACAAACGUUAUCCGGAGUUACUGGGCGUAAAGGGCGUGUAGGCGGUUCGUUAAGUCUGGCGUGAAAGCUCUCGGCUAAACCGGGAGAGGUCGUUGGAUACUGGCAAACUAGAGGACGGUAGAGGCGUGUGGAAUUCCGGGUGUAGUGGUGAAAUGCGUAGAGAUCCGGAGGAACACCAGUGGCGAAGGCAGCUUACUAAAGUAUGAUUGACGCUGAGGCACGAAAGCGUGGGGAUCAAACAGG
rnacentral:rRNA from 1 species